UGGGGUUCCCCGGUGUAGGUGGGUGCAGCCCCCCGGGGCUGAUGCUGCCACAUCUAAAGGCCAUCUACCCAGAAUCACAGGGAACUGGAUAAGACUCUAUGAAGGGGAGAUUGGUAAAGGCCCUUUAACCAGAUCUGAGCAAUGGGGAACAGUUGCAAAUGCUUCCCAAGAGCCCCUCAGUAAAAAGAGAUAAAGAAUAAUGGGAUAAAGAAAAUGCUUCACACUUUGGUUUUGGAAGAGGAGGGAGGAUACAGAGAAGCCCAACGGUGAGAAGGUGUGGAAACAUGGAGAGGGCAUGGCUUUCCCAAAGCCACAGAGAACUAGCUUAGAACAGAGCUGGGGAUACAGCUCAUGAUCCUGCACCCCUUCGGGGCUUAUCUUUACAAUGCUCUGUGCUUCGACAACACUGUGGGGACACAGUCCCCUCCCCCUCCUUCUGUAAGACCAUUUAUUUGCUCACAAAUCAGGAUUAUUCAAGACACAUGGGAAACAGACCUCGAUCAGGCGUACUAAGGUGGUCAACUGCAGGACUGCACCUCACAACAUGCACUUUUGGGGAUCCAUGAGCUGGUCUGACGUGCCAGGCGGCAGAGAACAGGAAGCAGCUCACUCUACAGACAAAGGCCCCUCAACCCAGGGUGAGGGAUUGGUGCAGGAUUCUUCGUCUGUUUUCUUAUCACGUCUCCUCCCCAUAUAUAAUUUUAUCAGUAAAUGAGAGAUUAAAGUCUCAUAGGGAAAAAAAGUCAGGAGU